CGGUAACACGUAGGAGGCGAGCGUUAUCCGGAUUUAUUGGGCGUAAAGCGCAUGCAGGUGGCUAGGUAAGUCGGGUGUGAAAGCCCCGGACUUAAUCCGGGGAGGUCAUUCGAUACUGCUUGGCUUGAGAGCGGGAGAGGGAAGUGGAAUUCUCGGUGUAGUGGUGAUAUGCGUAGAUAUCGAGAGGAACACCAGUGGCGAAGGCGGCUUCCUGGCCCGUAUCUGACACUAAGAUGCGAAAGCGUGGGUAGCAAACGGACUUAGAUACUCCGGUAGUCCACGCUGUAAACGAUGGGUACUAGGUGUAGGGGGUGUAAAACUCUCUGUGCCAUAGUUAACGCACUAAGUACCCCGCCUGGGGACUACGGUCGCAAGGCUAAAACUCAAAGGAAUUGACGGGGGCCCGCACAAGCAGCGGAGCGUGUGGUUCAAUUCGAAGAUACACGAAGAACCUUACCUGGGCUUGACAUGUUGGUAGUAGUGAAGCGAAAGCGGAACGAUCCUUCGGGAAGCCAUCACAGGUGCUGCAUGGCUGUCGUCAGCUCGUGCCGUGAGGUGUUGGGUUAAGUCCUGUAACGAGCGCAACCCUCGCUGCCAGUUACAAGUGUCUGGCGGGACUGCCGGUGACAAACCGGAGGAAGGUGGGGAUGACGUCAAGUCAGCAUGGCCUUUAUGUCCAGGGCUACACACACGCUACAAUGGCCGGUACAAUAGGUUGCCAAGUCGUGAGGCGGAGCUAAUCCUCAAAACCGGUCUCAGUUCGAAUUGCAGGCUGCAACCCGCCUGCAUGAAGUUGGAGUUGCUAGUAAACGCGCGUCAGCAAUAGUGCGUGAAUACGUUCCCGGGCCUUGCA
rnacentral:rRNA from 1 species